AAAUACAAAGGAAAUUAAAGUGAUGAAUCAAAUGUUCCCCCUUCUUCUCAGCUGCACUUUCUUGCUCAACUCUGUUUUUUUCCACCUUGUUGUUAUUCUCCAUUCUCCAUAAUCAACCACUUCAUGAAGAUUCUUCCAAGGGUUCAAGUUCUAAAGUUUCGAUUUUUUCUUAAAUACGGUAAAAUUGGCCCUUUAUCCAAGAGGUUCUCAUCAUCAUUUUCAAAUGGGUCUCAUUUUUCUACUUCUGAAACGUAUGAUAAAGUUAAUCCAUUUAUGGGUGAUAGCUACCAAGACAAUGCGGCAAAAGUUGAUGGUAUGAGAAAGACAAUGUAUGAUGUAUGUGGGGUUUUGGAUGCUGGGCCAUGGGGGCCUUCUGUAGAGGAUGCACUUAACGUGUUUGAUGAAAUGUCUCAACCGGAAGUGAUUGUUGGAGUGAUGAGGAGGGUGAAGGAUAUGAAUGUUGCAUUUCAGUAUUUUAGGUGGGUGGAGCGAAAAACUGAACAAGCUCAUUGCCCUGAAGUUUAUAAUGCACUUCUCAUGGUUAUGGCUAGGACUAGAAACUCGGACUAUCUGGAACAGAUUCUUGAAGAAAUGAGUGUGGCUGGAUUUGGACUCUCCAAUCAUAUUUGUAUAGAACUGGUUGCUAGUUUUGUCAAAUCGCAGAAGCUAAGAGAAGCUUUUGGUGUUAUUGAAAUAAUGAGGAAGUUCAAGUUUCGUCCUGCGUUUUCGGCUUACACGACACUUAUUGGUGCUUUAUCUGAAGCAAAUAAACCUGAUCCCAUGCUCACUCUCUUUCACCAAAUGCAGGAGAUAGGUUAUGAAGCAAAUGUACAUCUUUUUACAACGCUUGUUCGUGUGUUUGCUAGGGAGGGUCGCAUAGAUGCAGCUCUGUCCUUGCUGGAUGAGAUGAAGAGCAACUCGUUCACUGCUGACCUUGUCCUCUAUAAUGUAUGUAUAGACUGUUUUGGUAAAGUUGGUAAGGUGGAUAUGGCAUGGAAAUUCUUUCACGAGAUGAAGGCACAAGGAUUGGCUCCUGACGAUGUCACAUAUACUAGCUUGAUCGGAGUUCUUUGCAAGGCUGGGAGAUUGGAUGAAGCUGUUGAGUUGUUUGAAGAACUGGAUCUCAACAGGAGUGUCCCUUGUGUCUAUGCUUAUAAUACCAUGAUUAUGGGUUAUGGUUCAGCUGGGAAAUUUAAUGAAGCAUACAGUUUGCUUGAGAGACAAAAGAGAAAGGGGUGUAUACCUAGUGUCAUUGCAUACAAUUGCAUUCUAACAUGCUUAGGAAGAAAGGGUAAAGUAGAGGAAGCAUUGAGGAUCCACCAAGAAAUGAGACAAGAUGCCGCACCUAAUCUUACAACCUACAAUAUUUUAAUUGACAUGCUUUGUAAAGCAGGAGAACUUGAAGCUGCUCUGAAAGUUCAGGAUACCAUGACAGAGGCUGGCUUAUUCCCAAAUAUUAUGACUGUAAAUAUAAUGAUUGAUCGAUUAUGUAAAGCUCAAAAACUUGAUGAAGCUUGCUCCAUAUUUUUAGAAUUGGAUCAUAAAGUAUGCACUCCCAACUCGAGAACAUUUUGUUCACUUAUUGAUGGCUUGGGUAGGUGUGGCAGGGUAGACGAUGCUUAUAGUCUCUAUGAAAAAAUGUUAGAUUCUGGUCAAACUCCAAAUGUAGUAGUAUAUACAUCUCUUAUUAAGAACUUCUUUAAGUGUGGUAGGAAGGAGGAUGGCCAUAAAAUUUACAAAGAUAUGAUUCAUAGGGGUUGUUUUCCUGAUCUGAUGCUUCUUAAUUCUUACAUGGAUUGUGUUUUCAAAGCUGGUGAAGUUGAGAAAGGUAGGGCUUUAUUUGAAGAAAUAAAGGCUCAGGGUUUAGUUCCUGAUGUUCGGAGUUACUCGAUUUUAAUUCACGGUCUCGUGAAAGCAGGUUUUUCAAGAGAAACAUAUAAGUUGUUCUACGAGAUGAAGGAACAAGGACUACAUUUGGAUGUCCUUGCUUACAAUACUGUAAUCGAUGGGUUUUGCAAGUCCGGCAAGGUCGAUAAAGCAUACCAACUGCUGGAGGAAAUGAAGACAAAGGGUCUACAACCCACUGUUGUAACUUAUGGUUCUGUUGUUGACGGACUAGCUAAAAUUGACAGACUUGAUGAAGCAUAUAUGUUAUUUGAAGAAGCAAAAUCAAUAGGUGUUGAUUUAAAUGUAGUUAUCUACAGUAGUCUUAUUGAUGGGUUUGGAAAAGUGGGAAGGAUUGACGAAGCGUACUUAAUUUUGGAGGAGUUGAUGCAGAAAGGUCUGACUCCAAACACAUACACUUGGAAUUGCUUACUCGAUGCAUUGGUGAAAGCUGAAGAAAUUGAUGAAGCUCAAGUCUGCUUUCAGAACAUGAAAAGCUUAAAAUGUCCUCCAAAUGAAGUGACCUACAGCAUUAUGAUAAAUGGUCUUUGUAUGAUUGGAAAAUUUAACAAGGCUUUUGUAUUUUGGCAAGAAAUGCAGAAAAAAGGUUUAAAACCAAAUACUAUCACAUAUACCACAAUGAUUGUGGGACUUGCAAAGGCUGGGAAUGUUAUGGAGGCUAGAGGCCUAUUUGAUAGAUUUAAGGCAAGUGGGGGCAUACCCGAUUCUGCUUGCUAUAAUGCCAUGAUGGAAGGACUAAGCAGUGCCAAUAAAGCAAUGGACGCAUAUACAGUUUUUGAGGAAACUCGGAUGAAAGGAUGUCGUGUAAAUAGCAAAACAUGUGUUGUUCUUUUAGAUGCGUUGCAUAAGGCUGACUGCCUUGAGCAGGCAGCAAUUGUUGGUGCUGUCUUAAGGGAAAUGGCAAAGUCUCAACAUGCUACAAGGUUACCCUGAGAACUGAAGCUUGGCUUCUUCGCAGUAAACGCAUGCCUUCCAAUGUCACCAGUUCUUAGAUAAGGCUAAUAAUCCUAGCCUCACGGGAAAUUCUUCCAAAUUGCAAUAGUUUGUCAGGCUCCAUAAUAAUUGGAAGGCAUCAUGGAAGUGUCAUCCUACAUUUCUUUCAGACUGCUGUGAUUCAUUCUGUUGCAAUAGUUCAAAGCAAAAUGGAUUUUAAUUCUCUAUUUCUUUCAUCACUCUGUUGAAUUUCACACUCUCAAAGUAACUUAUGAAGGAGAUGAUGAUUAAGAGAAAAAGAGGAGAGCUUGCUAAGUGAGGAGUCAAGGUCGCAUCGCAUCUGCUCCCUCUGCAACAGAGGUGCUGCCAAAACUUUUCACAUCAGAUUCAGCCCUUUGGAAUUUACUGUAGCUUCUUCAGCUCUAAGUAAGGCCACUUUUGGCUUUUGAUUAAACAAAAACUUAUGGAUUUGCUGGUUGUUCGAUCGCUUAUCUGGCUUGCAUGUUACUGUAUGAUUGUUUUUGCCAAACCCAUCAAAUGUGCAGCAUUGUUCAUAUUUGGCGACCUUUCUUAGACUGGCGCACCAAAUGGAAAUGAGGUUUGACAUUUUUUGUGUUCUUGCAACAGUCAUCAUCUACCUUGGAUGUGUGGUUAUUGAUGAUUAGAUUAUGUGAUACAAUGCCCGAAACCAAGAAAACAAAACAAAGAUGUCUCGUGUCGA